GUCAACUAGUGCGAAACACGGUCUUCCCGCAAGGGACCGGAGUCGAGGUGCUGCAUGGCUGUCGUCAGCUCGUGUCGUGAGAUGUUGGGUUAAGUCCCGCAACGAGCGCAACCCUUGUCCUGUGUUGGCAUGCCGCAAGGCGCAACUCUCAGGAGACCGCCAGCGAUAAGCUGGAGGAAGGUGGGGAUGACGUCAAGUCAUCAUGGCCUUUAUGUCCAGGGCCACACACGUGCUACAAUGGGCGGUACAAAGCGCUGCCAACCCGCGAGGGGGAGCUAAUCGCCAAAAACCGUCCUCAGUUCGGAUUGCAGGCUGCAACUCGCCUGCAUGAAGCUGGAAUCGCUAGUAAUGCUAUAUCAGAACGAUAGCGUGAAUACGUUCCCGGGUCUUGUACACACCG
rnacentral:rRNA from 1 species